CAGAAUGUAGUUUAUAUAAAAAUAUUAAUUUUGGAGAUUAAAGAAAUUUAAUUUUUAUUCUGA
rnacentral:tRNA from 1 species